AAUAAAAUAAAAUGAUCCUAUCUGUUCAGUAAUUCUAAGAGAAAUGUAGGACCCUUUAUGGGAAAUAAUUGUGUUGCUCUUUUCCAAAGCAGCCAAAGUUUUCUACCCCAAGCAGCAAUUAAUAGUCUGCUUUCUUAACUAAAAGCGUUCUAAUGGGGGAUUUCACAGAGUCUACUGUUUCAAAGCCAUAAAGUCAAAUCUGGAACAUAAUACUGGGCAUAAGCCCACCUUGUUUUCUGUUUCUAUGCAAAGAAAGAAAGCAGGACAUAAAAUCACUUGUUCUGGAAAAGAUGUAGAGGAAUGAAGAAGAAUAAAAAAAAUGCAAGUGAAUACUGAAUGAAGGGACACCUCGCUGUAGAUGAAGAGAGGCAGCUCUUGGUCCUGGGAGACACUAGAAGCUGGGGUUUCUUUCCCUCAUUCUGGCUCAGGGAGCCUCUUGAUGGAGAAUCUGUCUUGGCCUGGGAGAAAACCCCAGUCCCAUGGAAUUUGCAUUUAGUUUGGGGCAAAGGCAACUCCUCACUAGGUCUGUCCCCUGCUUGUUUGCUCCCCAGCACCUGGAUGAAUUGUGCAGAAGAAGAAGUUGAACAAAUGUGAGAGGAACCCCAGGAAGGCUAGCAAGUCCCACUGGCCCUUUUCCAGCCCCUGGCCACACCCUGCAGGCCUGAGCCAGACUCUGAGUCAACACGGGAAGGGGGAUGGGGAGGGCAUAGCCGAUAGCUCAGGUGCCACCCUGGAAGCUCAGUCAGCACCAGAUGCAUUGGUUCCCACUAAUCAUCUGUGAUACUUUGGGAUUUUUCAGACUGUGGAGCCAAUUGUCACAAACAGUGCAAAGACCUCCUGGUUCUGGCCUGUAGGAGAUUUGCCCGGGCGCCCUCCUUGGGCAGUAGUCAUGGGUCGCUGCCUGGAAGUCCCUCGUUGCCCCCAGUGCAGGAUGAGGUGUUCGAGUUCCCUGGAGUCACUGCUGGACACCGAGACCUGGACAGCAGAGCCAUCACGCUGGUCACAGGCUCUUCUCGCAAGAUCUCCGUGAGGCUGCAGCGGGCUACCACCAGCCAGGCCACCCAGACCGAACCUGUAUGGUCAGAGGCUGGCUGGGGGGACUCAGGGUCCCACACCUUCCCCAAAAUGAAAUCCAAGUUCCAUGACAAAGCAGCAAAGGACAAGGGUUUUGCCAAGUGGGAAAACGAGAAGCCCAGGGUGCAGGCUGGCGUGGAUGUGGUUGACCGGGGCACCGAGUUCGAGCCUGACCAGGAUGAAGCAGAUGUGGGUGAGACCAGACAGGAUGGUGAGGAUGGCUGACUUCAGGCUGAGGACACUGGAGGCAAUAAUGUUGGCAUUUGGAAGGAGCAAGAUGAGAAAUUCUGAAGAACACUCCAACUCAGGAAGUUAUCUGAAAAGAUAUCUUGGACUUUUACUGCCUGGUGACACCAUGGGGUCUCCCUGAUUGGACUGUGGGACAGAGGAUUUACCCUAUGAACUACUUAUUUCCUCCUCCCCAGGCCCUAGUCAGGUGUCACCAAGUCUGGGCGAUGUAGUUGGUAGAUUUCUCUGUGUCUUUCCGUAGAGCCAUUUAUAUAUGAGUGAAGUGAAAGCUUUUCUGCAUGUACUUGAUACUCGUUCUCUAAACUCUACUUUUUUGUGAGAAUAUUAUUUCAGUAUUUUGUAAACUUUUGGUGGGGAGGAGUCAAUUUAGAGGUCUUUUUUUUGUGUGUGUGUGUGCUUUUUGGACGGGACCAGGACUUAUUUUCUUGAGGGACAAGAAAGCUCUUCAGAUCCUGGAAUGAGGUGGUUCUUCUAAUACAAGGAGAUGUUUACAUUGUUCUUACCCUACAGUUGCUAUUACGAUGUGUAACAAGUCAUACAUUUAUAUUCACAUAAGUCUUACCAAUUCUGCAUCAUAAGGAAACUAUGACACAGCCAUGAAAACUCUCCUGAUAUUUAUAAUUGCCGUGGGGGAAAAUUAAGUAUACUUGUCUUAGUGACUAGGUUUAGCCAUCUUUCUUAGGACUCCUGUUAAGACUGCCAGUAAGAAAUUUGGAUGGUGAUUACAAAAUCAAUUAAAGUUUCAGGGGAUAAAAUUUAGGAGAAAAACAAACCAACAAGCAAACCACUUAGUGAAAUGAAAAACAAUCAGCAAUUCUUUAAAAACUCAAAAUAGUUUUAAGAACUUUGUUAGAAAUGAAAAGUUUUGGUUAUAAGAGAGAACUUUUGUCCUCUUCCUAAGAAAUUGCCAUCCGUAAUUAAAAGAAUAGUCAUAGAAAUCCAAUCAUCAGAAACCACCUUGGAUUAACAUUUCAUUUCAGCUUUUAAAGUAUCAGUAUUUUCAAUGUUUCCCUUUGACCUAAAUAGCUAGACAUGGGUCUGUUUUUUAUAUGAUUAGAGGAGAGCAAACUUAGUUCAAAGUGUUCAAAUAGAGAGAUUGGAUUGAGCCAAAGGAUGAGGGGAUUGACCUGCUGCCACGUGACCAGUGAGAAAUUGUACCCACAGAAGUGCACUCAUUUUCAUUGGGAGUUUAAAUGUGUAUACCAUAUAAGACUGAAUUUAUUUCUAUUUGGGGCAGUCACUUCAGUAAAGAAAUCCUUCUCUUUUUCCAUUAGAUAAAAUUGAGGACAGUUCUACUUAGCAAACACUUGACCACCUGCUCUGGGCAGGUCCUGCACUAGAUGCACAAAGACAAGCAACAUUUGAUCUCUAUCCUCAGGAGAGAUGGUUCCUUAAAGUACAGUUCCAGAUUUGCUAGGACGGACUUAAUUGUGCCAAACAGAUUGAGAAAUCGAUUUGCAGAAACAUUGCAAAUUAAAUGAAGUUAUUAGUUGACGGAGCUUUGAAUAAUCUAUGUAAUAAGAGAACUCACCAUUUGCAAAGCACCUCAAAAAGCAAGCAGCCAUCCCUGAGUGUUGGCUCUGUGUAUAUAUACUAUCUAUUCCUAUUCAUAAAUGCAAUGAAAUACAUGUUAACAAAAUUAAAAAACAGAAAAUGGCAACUUAAGUACAUGAAAAUUCUUGUGUGUUUUUUUUACUUUUAAGAAAAUUCAGGAAGAAAAUUUGGAUUAUUAUUUUUCCUCUCAAAGCAAUUAUUUCACUUGUCACUUUGUUUGAGUUAUUUGAGUUUUCAUAUAUAAGAAGAGUUUUAUAUUAUCAGCCUUCCUGUGACAAAGAUAUUAAAUGUACCUCAACUAAAAAGCAAAUAAAUACAAACAACAAAGAAAAUAAAACAAA